rnacentral:tRNA from 1 species
GGCGGGUUGUCAGAGCGGCUUAUUGAAGUUGACUGCUAAUCAACCGGGGCGCAAGUCCCGCAGAGGUUCGAAUCCUCUACCCGCCG